rnacentral:rRNA from 1 species
UACGGGGGGGGCAAGCGUUGUUCGGAAUUACUGGGCGUAAAGCGUGCUCAGGCGGUCUUGCAAGACAGGUGUGAAAUCCCCGGGCUUAACCUGGGAACUGCACUUGUGACUGCAAGGCUGGAGUACGGCAGAGGGGGAUGGAAUUCCGCGUGUAGCAGUGAAAUGCGUAGAUAUGCGGAGGAACACCGAUGGCGAAGGCAAUCCCCUGGGCCUGUACUGACGCUCAUGCACGAAAGCGUGGGGAGCAAACAGG